rnacentral:rRNA from 1 species
UACAGAGGGUGCAAGCGUUAUUCGGAAUUACUGGGCGUAAAGCGCGCGUAGGUGGUUUGUUAAGUUGAAUGUGAAAUCCCCGGGCUCAACCUGGGAACUGCAUGCAAAACUGGCAAGCUAGAGUAUGGUAGAGGGUGGUGGAAUUUCCUGUGUAGCGGUGAAAUGCGUAGAUAUAGGAAGGAACACCAGUGGCGAAGGCGACCACCUGGACUGAUACUGACACUGAGGUGCGAAAGCGUGGGGAGCAAACAGG